GAGUUUGAUCAUGGCUCAGAACGAACGCUGGCGGCGUGCCUAACACAUGCAAGUCGUACGAGAAACACGUCCUUCGGGGCGUGGAGUAAAGUGGCGCACGGGUGAGUAACACGUGGGUAACCUGCCCUUGGAACCGGGAUAACUGGCCGAAAGGCCCGCUAAUACCGGAUAAGACUUCAUGAGCUUCGGCUCAUGCGGCCAAAGUCGGCCUCUCGAAGAAGCCGGCGCCUGAGGAUGGGCCCGCGGACCAUUAGCUAGUUGGUGAGGUAACGGCUCACCAAGGCCGAGAUGGUUAGCUGGUCUGAGAGGAUGAUCAGCCACACUGGAACUGAGAUACGGUCCAGACUCCUACGGGAGGCAGCAGUGAGGAAUAUUGCGCAAUGGAGGCAACUCUGACGCAGCAACGCCGCGUGGGUGAAGAAGGCUUUCGGGUUGUAAAGCCCUGUCAGGUGGGAAGAAACCUCAUCUAGUGAAUAGCUAGAGGAACUGACGGUACCACCAAAGGAAGCACCGGCUAACUCCGUGCCAGCAGCCGCGGUAAGACGGAGGGUGCAAGCGUUGUUCGGAAUCACUGGGCGUAAAGCGCGUGUAGCGGUUCGAUA
rnacentral:rRNA from 1 species